GGGCCCGCACAAGCGGUGGAGCAUGUGGUUUAAUUCGAUGAUACGCGAGGAACCUUACCAGGGCUUAAAUGUAGAGUGCAUGAUCUAGAGAUAGACUUUCUUCGGACUCUCUACAAGGUGCUGCAUGGUUGUCGUCAGCUCGUGCCGUGAGGUGUCAGGUUAAGUCCUAUAACGAGCGCAACCCUUAUCGUUAGUUGCCAUCAAGUAAAGUUGGGGACUCUAGCGAGACUGCCGGUGCAAACCGCGAGGAAGGUGGGGAUGACGUCAAAUCAUCACGGCCCUUACGUCCUGGGCUACACACGUGCUACAAUGGUAUGGACAAUGAGCAGCCACUAUGCGAAUAGGAGCGAA
rnacentral:rRNA from 1 species